rnacentral:rRNA from 2 species
UGAGUUCUCCCUGAGACUUAAGGUCUCCUGAAGGAACGUUGAAGACGACGACGUUGAUAGGCCGGGUGUGUAAGCGCAGCGAUGCGUUGAGCUAACCGGUACUAAUGAACCGUGAGGCUUAACCUUACAACGCCGAAG